GAAGUUGAAAAAGAUAGCACUAGUAAGUUCCCAUCUAUUGUAUAUUUGUACAACAUUCAAGUGUUGUUAUUUGUGGAAUGAUCUCUCUCACUCCCUCUGAAAUUGCACGAAUUGUUUUCUUUUCUUUAUUCUCCAAUUCCACUUUAACCUUUGUUAAAUCUGUUUAUGUAGUUGAGCAAGGGUGCUAGCACAAGUUCAAAUAAUAAUACACCACCCCUCAAAUAGUAAUACACCACCCAUUUUAAAGGAGGAACUAAAAGUAUAGUCUUAUGGUAUUGGAGUAUAGGGGGUAACUGAAGGAGCGGAAGCAUGAAAAAUACAAGUUUAGAUCAUUGAAUUCAAAAAUUUUUCAUCUAGAGUCACAUGCAUCAUGCAAGAUUCA
rnacentral:misc_RNA from 1 species